UUUACAUGAUUUUCCAGGUCACAGGAUACCAUGCCCCUAAUCCCGACAAUGUGGAAGAGAGAAAUAUAUUUAACAACCAGAUAAUAAAUGGCCACCAAGUAAAACAGAACAUAUCUCAGUCUUAAAAUAUCUCCAAGUUCUGAUGAAAUAAAGAUUAUUCAGACACCAAAAUUCAAAUUCUCCAAACCACCACUCAUCAAAAAUACUAAAAAUUUCAUUGCCUCAUCUGCCAAUCCUUCAACAUAAUACAUACCAUAAGGAAUUCUAUUCUUCAGAGUGAUGCCACCUAGCAACAACCUUCUCUGCUAUCAUGGAAAUAAAUAGCAACACAAUACUUUAUGAUGUAAUCAACCCAGCAGCAAGAGCAUCAAUGGCAACAAAUUUUAUUGGCCUUUGAGUAUACAUGUAACUCAGUGAGGGGAAAGAGGCCAGUCUUAGACCUUGAGUCUAAGUCUUUUGAAUCUCCCAUGGCUUUGUAUAUCACAAACUGAGGCAAUGCAUGCUAAGUCAUUCUGUCCUCAAUCAAGUUUCUGGAUGAUUGUUGGGCACUCUUCAGAGAGAUGAUGACAUUUCAUCAGACAAAAAAACCAAAUGAAUAUGUCAGGCAAAACUAGAGAACAAAAGUGUAUUAUUGAGUGUCGGACUUGGAGCAAAUGACCUUAAAGUUUCCUGAUACUUUACUGGAGAAGAAAACUCAAUUUUGUAGAAUGUCAUGUAAAGAAGCAAGUCUGUGAUACUCAAGCAUGGGCAUGGCUCAUUAUUCUAAAAACUUGCCCAAGCUUUAUUCUCUGCUCUUGAUGCAAAAUAUGAGAACAUUCAAGGUGUCUUUCCAUGUAGUAUUGGAUAGAAAAUGAAAAAUAUUAAACAUAACAGCAUAUAUCUCAUUCUACAACAUUCCUGAGCAUAUAUCCUCUUCUCCAUUGGGAAUUUUAAGGAAAUACUCCAUUAAAACUGAUUCUUACAAGUUAAUUAUGGAUAUAGACCAUCUUAUGAAAUUAAAACACUAUGGUGGUAGUAGGGAUCUGACUUUCAAAAGGGGAGGAGAAUAAUGGAAAGUCUCAAGGUCAAAACAUUUGUUUGAAAGUACAAAACCUUGAAGUCCCAGGAUCAGAAUGCUUGUGACUAUUUGAAAGGAAGUGUAGUGACUCAGAGAAUAAAAAAAAUGACUUUGAGGCAAUUUCUUUACAUGAAAUAGCAAGAGGGAAAAACGCCUUCUGUAACUUUGGUGCAUAUAAAAUAACUGCUCCAAGGGUUGGUAUUUAAAGAAGCAGAGAAGGGACAACAAAUGUGUAAUGUCAUUUUAUUCUAGAUGGUUUGUGGGUUUUCAGGUACAGGGCAUUUAUUGAGGAAUUAAGCCAGUACCACAGAGAGCAGUGGGGAUGAUAUAUGUAGAAGAUAGCAGUUUUUCAGUUUCCGAGUCAUGAGUAACCACUACAUGCUUGUGUUUUGUAUGGACAUCUCUUCACAGAAAUACUAGUCACAUGAAUAUUCCCUGUGUUCAUGGUGGAGAACCUAUGGCAUACAUGCCAAAAGGGGCACUCAGAGCCCCCUCUGUGGGCACAUAUGCUGUUGCCCUAGUACAGAGUUUGCCAGAGUUUGUUACUAGAAAGUCAGAGGGAUAAGGGGCCGGGCUACUCCCCUCCCCCUUGCUUGAGAACAUUUCUUACAUCACCUCUCCAUCUAAGAUUCCUAAUCACUGCCUUAUGCCUAGAUGACUCACACAAUAUUCUUCAAAAUGUUCCUUCCUGAGUGGGCAUGUGUUCUUUGAAGUGUAACUUCAAGUUUAUGGGAUAUGAGGGGAAAUUAUGAUGUUAAUUCCUUUAUUAUUUAAUUUAAGCACCAUCAUCAUGUACUAAGUAUUUUGUAUGAUAUUGGUAAAAAUGAAAUACAUUGAUAGAGGCUUCUGAUCUAAUAGAUUUGGAGAAUAUUUGGACCCAUUUCCCUCUUCUACACUCACUAAAUCCUGGCACCAGUACCAAACCUAGGAAAGGGGAUGCAAGGGUCCUUAAGGGUAGUCAGAACCUAAUGUGGUGGUGGAGAUGAAGAACUAGAGAGAGUAUAAUCUAUCCAUAGCAAUGUCAAGUAGUCAGCGAAGAGAAGAGAUUGGACUAGGCUUCUUGACCAGGAAUACAAACUGAUCCCUUCCAGAAGACUGCUUCCACUGGAAAUGGCCCCCUUCACAAAUGAAAUAUUUCUAAGAGUGAGAUCCAGUGGAAAAAAAGAUUGCUAUAAUAACAUAAAAAUAAGAUAGAGGAAGGAGCUCAUUUUGAUAUUAAUUCUCAUAAAAUAUUCAGAAGUAUUAGAAAAUCAUUUUGGUAGGUGUAGGGAGGAUAAAAUUGGACAGGGAAAUCUAUAGACCAGAAGACCAAUUGAGAGGCUAUUGCAAUAGUUCAGGGAAGAAGUGAUGAAGACUUUGACUUGAUUUAAAGUUGUGUGAGUAGAAAGAAAAUAGAUUUGAAAGUCAGAUAGGGAUAACAAAUGAUUGAGAAAGUUGGAGUGACAAGUCUUGGGAAUUGUUUAGUAAUGGAGACUGAGGGAAGAUAGCAGAAUUAAGGAUGUCUGUGUAAAAAUAGGCAAGUGGAAAGGAUAUAAAUUGAAAUAUGUGCAUGUAUGCACACACUUAAUAACAAUAGUACUAUUAAUAUAAUAAAUAACUAGCAUUUAAAUAAGGUUUUAAGGUUUAAAAAGCACUUGAUUUAUUUGAUCCAUACAACAAUCCUGUGAAAUACAUACAAUUAUCCCCUAUUUUAGAGAUGAAAAAAUAGUGUCUGUCAUAGGUUGAGUGACUUGACCAGGCACAGCUACUAAGUGUCUGAGGCUGAAUUUGAACUCAGACCUUCCUGACUCUAGGGCUAUUAAGUUAUUCUCUUUAUCACCUCUCUUCUCCCCACUUCUGGGAGUUGACAAACAAUUUCCCUGAGUUAUAGUUAUAUUAUCACAAAUCCAAUUUUUAAAAUU